rnacentral:lncRNA from 1 species
ACCUCGGACUCCCGAGUUAUAUUACUUGUGCGAUUCUCCUGCACUUGGGAGAGCAGUUUUAUUUUUGCACCAAUGAGAUCACGCCGUGGACGAUGAAGUUAAUCCGAAGAAGGGGUAAGGAUGGAGGCUGAGAAGAUCUCAGACGCUAGGAUUUGAGGUUGGGAACGGAUGGAUUGGUUUUAUUCGUGGGAGAUGAAGAUGUUGAGAUUCAGCUGGGAGAAAGUCACGGUUGCUGGGAUUUGAAGAAGGGAUAAGAAUGCAAGCGGAUGGAUUGGUUCGGAAGAUGAUCCUUGAAUCGCGGACGAUGCAGAUGAAAUCUGGGAAGAGAUGACGCUGGGACUUUGCUGGCUCUGUUCUUUGGGACAAAGUUGAUUACGAGGAAGGGGAGAUAAGCUGGAGGACUUGUUUGGAUGAGGGGAGUUUGGAUUUGUUCUUUGGACAUGGAAGAUUAGGUUAUCUUGUUACAAGGUGAGGACGUGGGCAUGGGAAGGCUGGAUGCUGAGAAGGUGAACGUGUGAAGAAAGGAAAAGAAUUUGAUGAAGUACAGUGUUGGUUUAAGCAUUAUUCAAUUGGAUUAGACUUGACCUGUAUACAUAAGGCUCAAUCAAUAAAUAAUCAAAUCAAACUUGAAUUACCUUUGAUAAUUUAUUAAAAUGCAAUAGUGGAGGUAACACAUUUUUUAUGGUUAAAUUUACAAAAUAUGUGUAUUAAAAUUAUGAUAAGUACAAUGAGAAAAAGGAUAAUUUAUGUAUUAUUUAGCACUUAUCAGCUGGCUAACUUCAUAUAUAGUCCCUUUUCUUUGAGAACUCGGGGGUGCUUGACGAGCGGAGGAGGCAUGGUGGAGAGAAUUUUCAUUAAGGUUUUGAAACAUCUGCCAUGCCUCAUGCUCACUCUUAUGCAUAAAAGUUUCCCCACACGAAGCAUCAACCAUCUGACGGUUUUGUUCAGAUAACCCGUCAUAAAAGUAUUGCACUAAUUGCCAUUUGGGUAUUUGAUGGUGCGGGUUUUUUCGGAGUAAGUCUCUAAAUUUUUUUCAGGUUUCAUGAAAUUCUUUUCCGUCAGAUUGGGAGAAGCUCGUGAUC